rnacentral:rRNA from 1 species
CGUAGGGUCCAAGCGCUAUCCGGAUUUAUUGGGCGUAAAGCACAUGUAGGUGGUUUCGUAAGUCUUUUCUUAAAGCUCUAAGCUCAACUUAGAAUCUGGAGAAGAUACUAUGAGGCUAGUGGUCAGCAGGGGCAAAUGGAAUUCCCGGUGUAGGAGUGAAAUCCGUUGAUAUCGGGAGGAACACCAAUGGCGAAGGCAGUUUGCUAGGCUGAUUCAGACACUGAGAUGUGAAAGCGUGGGGAGCGAACGGGAUUAGAUACCCCGGUAGUCCACGCCGUAAACGAUGCACACUAGGCAUUGGGAGUAUCGACCCUUCUUGUGCCGAAGCUAACGCGUUAAGUGUGCCGCCUGGGAAGUACGGUCGCAAGACUA